GGUAGCACAAUGAUGACUUAAAUUACUUUUUGCCGUUUACCCAGCUGAGGGUUUCUUUGAAGAAAUUUAAAAAAAAUAAAUAAUAAU
rnacentral:snoRNA from 1 species